rnacentral:rRNA from 1 species
GACGAACCGUACGAACGUUAUUCGGAAUCACUGGGCUUAAAGGGUGCGUAGGCUGCGCGGAAAGUUGGGUGUGAAAUCCCUCGGCUCAACCGAGGAACUGCGCCCAAAACUGCCGUGCUCGAGGGAGACAGAGGUGAGCGGAACUUAGGGUGGAGCGGUGAAAUGCGUAGAUAUCGGAAGGAACACCAGUGGCGAAAGCGGCUUCCUGGUCCGACACCGACGUUCAGGCACGAAAGCGUGGGGAGCAAACAGG